UACGAAGGGGGCUAGCGUUGCUCGGAAUCACUGGGCGUAAAGCGCACGUAGGCGGGUCUUUAAGUCGGGGGUGAAAUCCUGGAGCUCAACUCCAGAACUGCCUUCGAUACUGAGGAUCUCGAGUCCGGGAGAGGUGAGUGGAACUCCGAGUGUAGAGGUGAAAUUCGUAGAUAUUCGCAAGAACACCAGUGGCGAAGGCGGCUCACUGGCCCGAUACUGACGCUGAGGUGCGAAAGCGUGGGGAGCAAACAGG
rnacentral:rRNA from 1 species